rnacentral:rRNA from 1 species
CCUACGGGGUGCAGCAGUGGGGAAUAUUGGGCAAUGGGCGCAAGCCUGACCCAGCAACGCCGCGUGCAGGAAGAAGGCUCUCGGGUUGUAAACUUCUUUUUGCAGGGGCGAGUAGAAGACGGUACCUGUCGAAUAAGACACAGCUAACUACGUGCCAGCAGCCGCGGUAAUACGUAGGUGGCAAGCGUUGUCCGGAUUUACAGGGUGUAAAGGGCGUGUAGCGGGGUUGAGAAGUCAGAUGUGAAAUCCUGCGGCUUAACCGCAGAACUGCAUUUGAAACUGUUGAUCUUGAGUACUGUAGAGGUAGACGGAAUUCAUGGUGUAGCGGUGAAAUGCGUAGAGAUUAGGAGGAACACCAGUUGCGAAGGCGGUCUGCUGGACAGCAACUGACGGUGAGGCGCGAAAGCGUGGGGAGCAAACAGGAUUAGAUACCCUAGUAGUC